rnacentral:lncRNA from 1 species
GUGCACAUGGGAAGUCUGUUUUGCUUGUGUCACAAUAUUCUCCCCUUGCGGCCUUGGCUGGUCCAUCGACUUCCUCAAUGUAGCACAUGACUGCAACAAGGUAUAAUCAAAUGAUUACAAAGCAAAAUCAUAUUGGUAAGCAUAUAAUAUCUGAGAAAGUUGAAAACUCGAGAGAAUAUUAAUUUACUUCUUUUGUUAGAUUAGCAAAAAGUUAUGGAGUUUUUAAUAAUCUAAGAGAACUACUUACAUUGAGUUUCGUGGGUGACGUGAGCGAAGAAGGCAGCGAUUUCGCGUUUGGAGAUGGAAGAACCAAAGCUAGGGUAGGAGUUAGCUGCAGCGAGGAAGGCGUCGUGAGUGUAGAAUCCUUUACCUUUGCAAUCACU